GAUAGAUAUUUUUGGGGUUUAUUGGGUUUUUAGGUACUGUAGGUGCUCUAUAUCUGAGAACAUGAUCAAUUCUCUAGCAUCAGAUUAUUCUUCAUUUGUAUGUUCACUCAUUCUCUACAAUACAUGCAUGUACAUAUUUAUAUAUAUAGUUUUCUAUUGACCCUCAUUUGAUCCCAUUUUGAUUGUUAUGCCAGGAGAUGAAAAAUAUAUAUACUCAUUUUUUUUUUUAUUUGCCCAUGUAUGCUACACAAUUAUAACGCCCUGUUAACUGGUUCCCUGCUAAACUGGUUCAAGUGCUUAUGGCCAGAGUGCUUCUUGUGUGUCACGACCAAAUAUGGAGCAGGCAAAUAUUAUGUCCUUCAAAGUCAAACUGCUAUUUAGUGCAAUAGGUAAUAACUUGUAUGAAGAUGCUUCUAGAUAUCUGAAUGAAUAUAAACGUGUACCAUACGUAGGUUUGCUUAUUUUUGAGCAAUAAUUUUUUAAUAAUUUUUUUUUGAAAAAUUGCGUAAUACAUCCCGAAAUCCUAGCUGUGUCUCUUUGUUAUACACGUCUUUCAGAGUUCAGGAAUAGUGAAUGGAAAUAAGUUUGAAUUAUUGAGCUUGAUCAUUACUGUGUACAUGUGAAGUUCUAGACUUUGUAAAAUGGAUUAAGAUAAUGCAUGUUUUUGCUUCCAGAGAGAUUUUUAAUGUAAAUAAAAAUUUUAGGCCAUUUUACAUUUUCUUUAUCGCUGUUUCCUCCUUUGAAGUCUUUGUAGUUCAACAAAAAGAAGUGUAUUAUAAUUUGGGGUUUAAAAUGUACAGCAUAAAAUGUCAAAAUUCAGGGAAAAACAAAAUUGUAAAGCAGGAAGGGGGAAACAUUUAAUUCUCUGCAAGGCUUUUAUUUGUUUUCUUUAUUAUUUGACAAAGAAAGGAGUAUUUUUAUGCCAAAAAUUAUUUUGUGUCAUUGCACAUGUGUCAUUGUUAUUAAUGUAGAUACAUGUAAUGAACAUGAUACCACAUUAAAUCAUACAAAAUC
rnacentral:misc_RNA from 1 species